GUAAGGCUUCCGCAGAGGUCGCCUGCUUUCCUAGCAGUUCCCACGAGCCAGACCCGGGCUGCCACGCAGGGGCAGGGGUCAGGCGUGGAGGCAGACUGUCCCGGUGCCCCCAGCCAGGCCGCUGGCGAGUCUGGCGCCGCCGCCGGGGAGCAGGGGCCCUGAGCUCUCUCCUCAGCGUCUGGACAGGCCGAGGAGGCAGACGAGGCACAAGUGACAGCUGGGAAGGUUUAAUUGCUCCUCAGUGGCUUGGGAGCACCUCCCUCCUUUGCCAGCGAUCUGCAUUUCAAUGUAGGAAGAGUGGAAAGUAAAGUAGGAUUGCCGCUCAAAGGGGUUACAAUGAUUAAUCAUUUAAAAAGCAAGAUCUUAAUUACAGGCCGCAAUUUUUGCUAUUUAAGGAGUCCAUUAGUUGCCAGAAAGAAGAAGAAAAAAAUUAUCACAGUAGGCUGAUGUCCUGAUCCUCGGGCGACUAAAGCGUCGAAGAUCCCGUUCCUCAAGCUCUCCGCACCCUUCACAGUGAGCACACCUCUGUCGUUGGCACCAGCCCAGGAGGUCCAGCCCUGCACUCCACGUGAUGGACGGCACCUUUAUCCCAGAAGCCCCGGCAGGCAACAAAGGGGCCACCCAGUGUAGAAGUUGAUCUGGGGGUGUCAGAUCCCACCCCAGCCCUGAACUGCAACUUUUGGGGGACACUACCAGUGCAACCGUUAACCUCAAUGACUGUAAAGUGUAAGCUGCACCCGGG
ensembl:lincRNA Gm45168 predicted gene 45168